rnacentral:rRNA from 1 species
UUUUUUUUUAUUUUUUUUUUUUUUUUAUCUCUCAGACGACGGCGGCGGCGUGCCUAAUACAUGCAAGUCGAGCGAACAGAAGGGAGCUUGCUCCCGGAUGUUAGCGGCGGACGGGUGAGUAACACGUGGGUAACCUGCCUGUAAGACUGGGAUAACUCCGGGAAACCGGAGCUAAUACCGGAUAGUUCCUUGAACCGCAUGGUUCAAGGAUGAAAGACGGUUUCGGCUGUCACUUACAGAUGGACCCGCGGCGCAUUAGCUAGUUGGUGGGGUAAUGGCUCACCAAGGCGACGAUGCGUAGCCGACCUGAGAGGGUGAUCGGCCACACUGGGACUGAGACACGGCCCAGACUCCUACGGGAGGCAGCAGUAGGGAAUCUUCCGCAAUGGACGAAAGUCUGACGGAGCAACGCCGCGUGAGUGAUGAAGGUUUUCGGAUCGUAAAGCUCUGUUGUUAGGGAAGAACAAGUGCGAGAGUAACUGCUCGCACCUUGACGGUACCUAACCAGAAAGCCACGGCUAACUACGUGCCAGCAGCCGCGGUAAUACGUAGGUGGCAAGCGUUGUCCGGAAUUAUUGGGCGUAAAGGGCUCGCAGGCGGUUUCUUAAGUCUGAUGUGAAAGCCCCCGGCUCAACCGGGGAGGGUCAUUGGAAACUGGGAAACUUGAGUGCAGAAGAGGAGAGUGGAAUUCCACGUGUAGCGGUGAAAUGCGUAGAGAUGUGGAGGAACACCAGUGGCGAAGGCGACUCUCUGGUCUGUAACUGACGCUGAGGAGCGAAAGCGUGGGGAGCGAACAGGAUUAGAUACCCUGGUAGUCCACGCCGUAAACGAUGAGUGCUAAGUGUUAGGGGGUUUCCGCCCCUUAGUGCUGCAGCUAACGCAUUAAGCACUCCGCAGGGGAGUACUUGGGAAGG